CCCUUUAGCAUCUGCUUCAGAGUACGUCACCAUGUCCGUCGAAAAACUCUACGACAUUCAGUUCCAGCUGAAGUUCACGGCGAAGCAGUUCCUCAAGAAUGCUAGCCGUUGCGAGAAGGAGCAGAAGCAGGAGAUGAACAAGUGCAAGCAUGCAAUGGAGAAGAACAACAUGGAGGGUGCCCGCAUCUAUGCCCAGAACAGCAUUCGCAAGAAGAACGAGGCGCUCAACCACCUGCGCCUGUCGGCGCGCAUGGAUGCCGUCGUGGCCCGGCUCGACACGGCUAUCAAGAUGAAGAUGGUGACCAAGAAUAUGGGCCAGAUGGUGAAGGGCAUGGACAAGGUGCUGCAGUCGAUGGACCCUGCCAAGAUCAGUAGGCUGAUGGACACCUUCGAGCAACAGUUCGAGACGAUGGAUGUCACGUCUGCCUACAUGGAAGGUGCUAUUGGCCAGAGCACGGCGGUCACCACACCGGAGGACGAGGUGAACAACCUCAUGUCUCAGGUCGCGGAUGAGCAUGGCCUGGACAUUCGUGAGCAACUCAACGACGACCUCCAGAUCAAGAACACCAACCUCACCGCGCAGAAGGCGGAGGAGAAGCAGGUCGAGGAGGACGACUUAGAGGCAAAGUUCGCACAGCUGCGUGGACGUUGAGGCGGCGCGGUCCAAGAGGAAUGUCGGAGAGGAAAAGGUGUCCCGGAGCUGUAUCAUGCACCGGAGGACGCCCGCAUACACGCAGAUGAGCGCUGGAAGCGAGAGUGAAGCACACCUACACGCGGACGCACACCCGCACGCUCCUUUCCCUUCAUAGCCACGGGCAAACGAAGAGCAGGCCUUGUGUGUACAAGCAAUCUUUAUGCAUUCCGCAAGCGAAGGGAAAGCCACGUGAAAGCGUUGGCGGUGGUGCGAAGUGAUCCCUGUGUGGAUGGUGGCGUAGUGUUGCUACCUCUUUUCGUCUCAUGCACGCGCUAUCCGUAACUCUUGUAAAAUUGUAUCUCCUGCCAAAUUGCACUAUAUUAGUGGAUAGCGCGGGUCAAGGGGAGUGCGGGGAGGCAACGGAGCGGCGAAGAGUCCGAAAACGAAGACAGAGAUUUUCAUGUCAUUAUGUGACACUCAAAACACAAGAAAAGAGUCGUUGUGGCUCGGUGUGUCUACACAGUGCACUGCUGUUGGUUUCCUCUCACCUGAAUUUUUUGUCUUUCACGCUCUCUCCCCCUCGCUGCACAGGAGGGAGGGGGGCUUGUUUUCGCUGCUUUUGCCGCUUUCGCUCGUUGUACAUUUCUGUGCGUAGGUGGUGCUAUCGAACGAUUUCCUAGUCACCUCGCUUUUCUUUUUUUUUCGCUCUGAGCUUUUCCCCCGUCUGGCGCGCGUGAAGGUAUGGACUGCUUCGUCAUCUUUUCCUCUUCCCUGUGCUCUGCCCUGUCUGUGUUCCGCGCUCGCUCGGUGUGCUUCAUUGACUUUUCCGCUCAGCAAACUCGUCGUGCCUGCCUCUCCCCUGUCUUUUUCGCAUGCCUCGCAAUGCGUACACGAUACGCGGCAUUAUGUUAACGCUUCACAGAGUUGUCCAGUGUUAGGGUCAUAUUAUCCAGUCCCAAGCAUGCACGAACGGAGUCACACACACAAGCACAAAUUCCCGAAACAAAAGGGCAGCGCCUGUGAGCGUUCUCAGGCGAAAGACGGGCAGAAAGCGCAGGCACACUCUCCUAUUUUUUUUUUAUUGUUGGGUAGGAAGGGGAAGGGUUUUUUUAGUUGCUUGCUGAAGCUGUGUUCUUCUGUCUCUCGUUGUUCUCUUUGAUUUUCGGCCACCCUCAUACGAGCCACAUGCGCACAAGUACUUCACCAUGUCUCUGUGUUUCUCUGACUCCAUCAUCUCUCUCUCGCCUGUCAGCACAGCCGUGGUUGUUUUCCUUUGGAGGCUCUUCUGG
rnacentral:misc_RNA from 1 species